UACGUAGGCAGCAAGCGUUUGUUCGGAGUUACUGGGCGUAAAGGGUGCGUAGGCGGCUCUAUAAGUAUGGUGUGAAAUCUCCCGGCUUAACUGGGAGGGUGCGCUAUAGACUGUGGGGCUAGAGUGUGGGAGAGGAAAGUGGAAUUCCUGGUGUAGCGGUGAAAUGCGUAGAUAUCAGGAGGAACACCGGUGGUGUAAACGGCUUUCUGGACCAUAACUGACGCUGAGGCACGAAAGCGUGGGUAGCAAACAGG
rnacentral:rRNA from 1 species